UUUUUUCUGAGUUUUUCAUGAAUAUGUUGUAUUUUUGAAUAAUUGUUUAAAAACUCUUAUUUUAGGAAAGUUUUCAUUUAUUAGAGAAAUACUUUAGAUUAGAGUUUGUGAUUUAGAAAUUAAGAUGACAAGAAUAUUUGUGAAUAGUUGAGUAUUUUUUCAGAGUUUUUCAUCACUAUCUUGUAUUUUGAAAUAAUUUUCUUAAAAACUGCUAUUUUUGGAAAGUUUUCAUUUUUUUUGAGGAAUAUUUUAGAUUUGCGUUUGUUAUUUAGAAAUUCGGAUAACAAGAAUAUUUGUGGAUAGUUGAGUAUUUUUUCUGAGUUUUUCAUGAAUAGGUUGUAUUUUUGAAUAAUUGUUUAAAAACUCUUAUUUUAGGAAAGUUUUCAUUUACUAGAGAAAUACUGUAGAUUAGAGUUUGUGAUUUAGAAAUUAAGAUGACAAGAAUAUUUGUGAAUAGUUGAGUAUUUUUUCUGAGUUUUUCAUCACUAUCUUGUAUUUUGAAAUGAUUUUCUUAAAAACUUCUAUUUUUGGAAAGUUUUCAUUUUUUUGAGGAAUAUUUUAGAUUUGCGUUUGUUAUUUAGAAAUUCGGAUAACAAGAAUAUUUGUGGAUAGUUGAGUAUUUUUUCUGAGUUUUUCAUGAAUAGGUUGUAUUUUUGAAUAAUUGUUUAAAAACUGCUAUUUUAGGAAAGUUUUCAUUUACUAGAGAAAUACUGUAGAGUUUGUGAUUUAGAAAUUAGAAAAACAAGAAUAUUUAUAGAUAGAUGAGUAUUUUUUCUGAGUUUUUCAUCAAUAUGUUGUAGUUUUAAAUAAUUUUCUUAAAUUUUGCUAUUUUUAGAAAGUUUUCAUUUAUUCAAGAAAUACUGUAGAUUUGUGUUUGUGAUUUAGAAAUUAGGAUGACAAGAAUAUUUGUGAAUAGUUGAAUAUUUUUUCAGAGUUUUUCAUCACUAUCUUGUAUUUUUAAAUAAUUUUCUUAAAAACUACUAUUUUUGGAAAGUUUUCAUUUAUUCAAGAAAUACUGUAGAUUUGAG
rnacentral:lncRNA from 1 species